UACGGAGGAUCCGAGCGUUAUCCGGAUUUAUUGGGUUUAAAGGGUGCGUAGGCGGCUUUUUAAGUCAGCGGUGAAAUUUUGCAGCUUAACUGUAACAGUGCCGUUGAUACUGGGGAGCUAGGAUUUGGUUGCUGUGGGUGGAAUGUGUGGUGUAGCGGUGAAAUGCUUAGAUAUGACGCAGAACUCCGAUUGCGAAGGCAGCUUACUGGGAUGCAACUGACGCUGAGGCACGAAAGCGUGGGUAUCAAACAGGAUUAGAUA
rnacentral:rRNA from 1 species